rnacentral:rRNA from 1 species
CAUCGACGACUUCGCUCGGCACCUCGAUGUCGGCUCAUCGCAUCCUGGGGCUGGACAAGGUCCCAAGGGUCGGGCUGUUCGCCCGUUAAAGCGGUACGCGAGCUGGGUUCAGACCGUCAAGUAUGGCGGCGUUGGGGAGCGAUCCUCAACUGAUAACCGACUCAUAACGGGGAACCCCUCUUCGGAGGGCAAUCCCGUGGGAAGGUCGAGAUGCGAGAUACCACCCUAGCAUACAUUGCCGGUUUUUUGGACGGUGAUGGAAGCGUAAUGUUUCAACUCAAACCGCGUUCAGAUUAUGCUUACGGAUUCCAAAUUAAGGUCACACUGGCGUUCUACCAAAAGAAGUCCAAUCGCUUCAUCCUGGAGUGGUUGAAAGAUAACUUGAAAGUGGGCACAGUGCGCGACCGAAACGAUGGAAUGAGUGAGUAUGACAUAGAAGGCUUUAUGCCGGCGCGACAAGUACUGGCGCUGCUCGAGCCCUAUGUUAUUCUGAAACGCGAGCAGGUUGAAACAGCGCUACGGUUGAUUAGAGAAAUAACCAGUCAACCUAAUCCCUCCCCAGAAGAAUUUCUGGAUUGGUGUGCGAAAGUGGAGUCUUUUCAAGCCCUAAACUACACCAAAAAGGGCAAACAUACGCUUGCAAGCGUGCAAGCCUUUUUGGCAGGCAAGGGUUAUCUUGAUCCCCGUAACGACUGAGAACGCGAACAGAGUUCUCGACAGCGUUCCCUACCUUCGCGAGAAGGUAAAUCUAUGAGCGUUGUAAUACGUCGGCGCCUCGAAAGAGGUGGUGGUAUAGUCUGUCUUCAAAGUAAUUUGAAGAUGCGUGAGACAGGUCGGUCUCUAUCCGCUGUGGGCGUAAGGGAUUUGAGAGGAGCUGCUCCUAGUACGAGAGGACCGGAGUGGACUGACCUCUGGUGUGCCAGUUGUCGUGCCAACGGCAUUGCUGGGUAGCUACGUCGGGCAGAGAUAACCGCUGAAAGCAUCUAAGUGGGAAACUCGCCUCAAGAUUAGAUCCCUGUAUUCUGGUUAACAGAGUAAGACCGCAGGUAGACCACCUGCUAUAUAGGCAACAAGUGUAAGCGCAGUAAUGUGUUGAGCUAAGUUGUACUAAUGGUCGAGGGCUGAAUCCCG